GUCGGCCAUAGAGGGUGAUAGCCCCUUACGCGUAGAACAGUCAUUGUCCUUGAGUAGGGCGGGACACGUGAAAUCCUGUCUGAACAUGGGGAGACCACUCUCCAAGCCUAAGUACUCGUGCAUGACCGAUAGCGAACAAGUACCGUGAGGGAAAGGUGAAAAGCACCCCGACGAGGGGAGUGAAAUAGAACCUGAAACCGGAUGCCUACAAACAGUCGGAGCCCGCAAGGGUGACGGCGUACCUUUUGUAUAAUGGGUCAACGACUUAGUGUAACUAGCAAGCUUAAGCCGGUAGGUGUAGGCGCAGCGAAAGCGAGUCUGAAUAGGGCGAUUGAGUUAGUUGCAUUAGACCCGAAACCGAGUGAUCUAGCCAUGAGCAGGCUGAAGGUUGGGUAACACCAACUGGAGGGCCGAACCCAUAACUGUUGCAAUAGUUCGGGAUGACUUGUGGCUAGGGGUGAAAGGCCAAUCAAACUCGGAAAUAGCUGGUUCUCCGCGAAAUCUAUUUAGGUAGAGCGUCGACCGAAUACCCUCGGGGGUAGAGCACUGGAUGGGCUAUGGGGACUCACCGUCUUACUGAUCCUAACCAAACUCCGAAUACCGAGGAGUACUAGUCGGCAGACACACGGCGGGUGCUAACGUCCGUCGUGAAAAGGGCAACAACCCUGACCUCCAGCUAAGGUCCCCAAGUCAUGGCUAAGUGGGAAAGGAUGUGAGGAUCCCAAAACAACCAGGAUGUUGGCUUAGAAGCAGCCAUCAUUUAAAGAAAGCGUAACAGCUCACUGGUCUAAAUAAGGGUCUUUGCGCCGAAAAUGUAACGGGGCUAAAGCCAUGCACCGAAGCUGAGGAUUUGCAGCAAUGCAAGUGGUAGCGGAGCGUUCCGUAAGUCUGUGAAGGCGGACCCGUGAGGGCUGCUGGAGAUAUCGGAAGUGCGAAUGUUGACAUGAGUAACGAUAAAGGGAGUGAGAGACUCCCUCGCCGAAAGACCAAGGGUUCCUGCUUAAAGUUAAUCUGAGCAGGGUUAGCCGGCCCCUAAGACGAGGCGGACACGCGUAGUCGAUGGGAACCACGUUAAUAUUCGUGGGCCUGGUGGUAGUGACGGAUCUCGUGUGUUGUUCAACCUUAUUGGAUUGGUUGGGCGGCGAAGAGGUUCCAGGAAAUAGCUCCACCGUAUAGACCGUACCCGAAACCGACACAGGUGGUCAGGUAGAGUAUACCAAGGCGCUUGAGAGAACUAUGUUGAAGGAACUCGGCAAAUUGCACGCGUAACUUCGGAAGAAGCGUGACCCUUUUGUACGCAAGUAUGAUGGGGUGGCACAGACCAGGGGGUAGCGACUGUUUAUCAAAAACACAGGGCUCUGCGAAGUAGCAAUACGACGUAUAGGGUCUGACGCCUGCCCGGUGCUGGAAGGUUAAAGGGAGGGGUGCAAGCUCUGAACUGAAGCCCCAGUAAACGGCGGCCGUAACUAUAACGGUCCUAAGGUAGCGAAAUUCCUUGUCGGGUAAGUUCCGACCUGCACGAAUGGCGUAACGACUUCCCCGCUGUCUCCAACAUAGACUCAGUGAAAUUGAAUUCCCCGUGAAGAUGCGGGGUUCCUGCGGUCAGACGGAAAGACCCCGUGCACCUUUACUAUAGCUUUACACUGGCAUUCGCCAAGGCAUGUGUAGGAUAGGUGGUAGGCUUUGAAGCAGGGACGCCAGUUUCUGUGGAGCCAUCCUUGAAAUACCACCCUUAUCUUCGUGGAUGUCUAACCGCGGUCCGUUAUCCGGAUCCGGGACAGUGUAUGGUGGGUAGUUUGACUGGGGCGGUCGCCUCCGAAAGAGUAACGGAGGCGCGCGAUGGUUAGCUCAGACCGGUCGGAAAUCGGUCGUCGAGUGCAAUGGCAUAAGCUAGCCUGACUGCGAGACUGACAAGUCGAGCAGAGACGAAAGUCGGUCAUAGUGAUCCGGUGGUCCCGUGUGGAAGGGCCAUCGCUCAACGGAUAAAAGGUACGCCGGGGAUAACAGGCUGAUGACCCCCAAGAGUCCAUAUCGACGGGGUUGUUUGGCACCUCGAUGUCGACUCAUCGCAUCCUGGGGCUGGAGCAGGUCCCAAGGGUAUGGCUGUUCGCCAUUUAAAGCGGUACGUGAGUUGGGUUCAGAACGUCGUGAGACAGUUCGGUCCCUAUCUGCCGUGGGUGUAGGAAUAUUGACAGGAUCUGUCCCUAGUACGAGAGGACCGGGAUGGACGUAUCUCUGGUGGAUCUGUUGUCCUGCCAAGGGCAUAGCAGAGUAGCUAUAUACGGAAUGGAUAACCGCUGAAGGCAUCUAAGCGGGAAACCAACCUGAAAACGAGUGUUCCCUAUCAGAGCCGUGGAAGACGACCACGUUGAUAGGACGGGUGUGGAAGCACAGCAAUGUGUGAAGCUUACCGUUACUAAUAGCUCGAUCGACUUCUUCGU
rnacentral:rRNA from 1 species